GCGCCUGUAGCUCAAUUGGAAGAGCGGCUCCCUUCGAAGGAGUAGGUUCCGGGUUCGAGCCCUGGCAGGCGCA
rnacentral:tRNA from 1 species